UUACAGUCCAGUGUGUUUGGGUGGUUAGAGUCCAGUGUGUUUGGGUGGGUAGAGUCCGGUGUGUGUGGGUGGGUAGAGUUCGGUGUGUGUGGGUGGGUAGAGUUCGGUGUGUGUGGGUGGGUGGAGUCCGGUGUGUGUGGGUGGGUAGAGUCCGGUGUGUGUGGUUGGGUAGAGUCCGGUGUGUGUGGUUGGGUAGAGUCCGGUGUGUUUGGGUGGGUAGAGUCCAGUGUGUGGGUGGUUAGAGUUCAGUGUGUGUGGGUGGGUAGAGUCCAGUGUGUGUGGGUGGGUAGAGUCCAGUGUGUGUGGGUGGGUAGAGUCCAGUGCGUGGGUGGUUAGAGUCCAGUGUGUGGGUGGUUAGAGUCCAGUGUGUGGGUGGGUAGAGUCCAGUGUGUGUGUGGGUGGAGUCCAGUGUGUGUGGGUAGAGUCCAGUGUGUGUGGGUAGAGUCCACUGUGUGUGGGUAGAGUCGGUCUGUGUGGGUAGAGUCCAGUGUGUGUGGGUGGAGUCCAGUGUGUGUGGGUAGAGUCCAGUGUGUGUGGGUAGAGUCCAUCGGUGUGUGUGGGUGGGUAGAGUCCAGUACAAGGGAGUUAGUGAAACGGGUCAAAGCAUGUAGUCCAGGUAGCCAUUUGAUUAACUAUUCAGCAGUCUUGUUCUGCAGAGAUAUAGCUUGGGGGGUAGAAGCUGUUCAGGGUCCUGUUGGUUCCAGACUUGGUCCACUGGUACCGCUUGUCGUGUGGUAGCAGAGAGAACAGUCUAUGACUUGGGUGGCUGGAGUCUCUGGCAAUUUUUAAGGCCUUCCUCUGACACCGCCUGGUGUAGAGGUCCUGGAUGGCAGGAAGCUUGGCUCCAGUAAUGUACUGGGCCGUUCGCAUUACUCUCUGUAGCGCCUUGUGGUCGGAGGCCACCACUGUUGUGUCUGGGCUUCUAAACAGCUUCUAACCCCGAAGCCAUAAGACUCCUGAACAGCUAAUCAAAUGGCUACCCGGAC
rnacentral:lncRNA from 1 species